UUUGGUGAUGAUGGCAGAGAGGUCACACCCGUUCCCAUACCGAACACGGAAGUUAAGCUCUCUAGCGCCGAUGGUAGUUGGGACCUUGUCCCUGUGAGAGUAGGACGUCGCCAAAC
rnacentral:rRNA from 2 species